CCCCCCGCCCGGUGCGCGCCCGCGCCGCCGCUCGCCCGCCCGGGCCCGAGCGGGGCCGGCAGCGGCCCUGCCCAUGGCUGUCCUCGCUCCUCCCGGAAGGUUCCAGAGUAGAUGGAAUUAUGAAGUAUUUGCAAUUUUGAGUCAAACGUUGUACCCUUACAGCCUUUUCAAACCCUGUGUCAGUUCAGUAUCAUGGCAAUAGUGUCUGAGGCUCAGUAACACAGGCACUGGAAGAUUUACUCCAGCAAACCACGGGGUCAGGAAGGAGCCUCAGAGGUAAGAGCAAACAGCCAGAUCUCUUAACACCCAAAUUCUCAGGUGGGCAGCCAGGUCCUCCACAAGCACCACACCUCAGCCAUCCCCCCCGUCCCUGACCACACAGUUCCCUCCCAGUGGCAAAGACAGCAAGCGUGGGACGGGCAGGAAGGUGAGGGAGAAGGGAUGGAAGGAGCCAAGGCUGGACUGAAGCUCUCUGCUCCGGUGUUACAGUGCAGAGCCAACACUACAAAGAGCUUGCACAGUGCUGGCUCCACAGGCUCUGUUGUCCCAGCCCUCUCCAUAGGCUUAGGGGAAGGUAGAUGGAUUUACCCUGGGCAGUGCAUGGGAAAAACACCCCCAAUUCUCAGGAGGUUCAAUAACAACCUUUACCCACAAACUUUAGAACUCUUAAGUAGAAUAAAUUUUUAAUUUGACAAAUUUUAAAACAUCCAGAUGAAGUAAGGCACUUUGCAAACUCUUAAAUUGGCAAACUUUAACCUAUCCAGACACAACAAGGUGCUUACUGGAAAUUUUUGGUUCAGCUUUAAGAAGAGGAAGGUAGAAGAAAGAGGGAGAAAGAGUAAGAAAAGGGACAGAGAAAGGUAAAUAUUCAGCAUCCUAAGACCCGCUAUGCCUUCAGUCUCCUACAUUAUCUCUUGGCUUCUGUAAGAACUGGGAGGAACAAGAGGAAAGGGAAGAAUAGGACAUCUCUGCUGUCACCUGCUGAGACUGUCUUAGCCCCUUCCCCCCAGAGCACAUGUGGAGGAUGGAAGGGCACAAAACAAAAAGGGUGGAAUACAGAAGGAGAAAAGAAAGAGCACCAAGCAGGUCUGGUUUAGAAAAGAGUCUAAAGCCUCCUGAAAUCAGUAGAAAGUCCCUUUAAUUGACUGCAAUGAGUUUUGAAUCAGAACUAUAUUCUGCUUAUCAAGUACAGCUGCUGAGAAUCAAUAAUAUUGUGACUAACCCUUCAAAGCAAUAACUACACUACUAACUGCUGGCUAAGAAAAAGUACAAUUAAUAGCAUAUUAAUUCAUUAGAAUUUAUCUCACUGAAGUCCUCUUCUCAUCAGGUGGUAGAGUCAGAUGGCAUUUAGAAGUGAUCACACAUGCAUGAAUAUCCUAUAUAAAUGAGGCAAUAAAGAAAAUACUUUUGUUCUUAAUGUUAAGUCAGAUCAAAUAUCCAUUGAUAUCUACAUCUCUUAGCAAGUAUCUCAAACAGAGAUCAAUAAACACUUAUUAGUCACUGAGUACGUUUCCUGCAGUAAAGGAGGGAAUUUCAGCCAACAGUUUGGAGAAGCCAAACAAUUGGGGGAGCUGGAGUUUAGUGCUUGCCUGCCAGAUGAUCAUUUACCUUCCCAUUUUCUCAGUUGCCACAUCUAGAGAACUGCAGAUCAAAGGAUUAUUUAAAUACUAUAGUCAUUCCUUUAAAAUACAAAUCAUUAUUUUAAAAUACAAGUAUGGAUUGGUGCAAGGGGAAAAAAAAUCACAAGUGCAAGUUUUUGGUUUGUGAAAAUUCUUUCAGGCCCAAAUCAGGAAAUACAUUACUUUGUGAAACUGGGAAUAAAAUAAAAUUAUUAAACUUUUCAAAGAUUUACAUGUACCUCUUUGAUGCUUCUGUGGGUUGCUGAGGUCUCUCACCUUGCCUGAAGUAUUUUACCACCUCAAAUAACUUACAGUAUUUCAAAUAAUAUUGUACCAGAAAACCAGAUAUUUGAGUUGUUUAGAGAACAGAGGCAACCAUUAACACUGUUGAGCUGUGUAACAGGAAAAAGGUUUCUGCUGCUUUAAAGAAAGUAUUCCAUAAUCUUCCAAAAUAACCUGUGUGUAAUGGCCAAUAUAGGAUUACUUUUUGGCAGAGGGAAUAUCCUGUUGCUAUUGACUGCAGUGUUACAGUAUCCUCACAUACUAGUACACAGUUAUUGGGGGAUAAAGACCACGUUGAAAAACUAACUGAUUGCAGCACUGAAAACAGUGAAGGAACUGUCCAGUAAUACGAAAAUUCACUUCCUUAGGAGAACAAUGACUGCAACUGUGUCACUUCUAGAUUAGCAUUAAAGAAUAAAAGUUUUAACUGAAACUAAGAAAUUAAUGCAGCGUAUUCCUUUCUUCCAGGGAUGCUAUUUUAAAGCAAGACAGGGAAACUUGG